GCGGUUAUACGAGAGGCCCAAGUUGACAAACACCGGCGUAAAGCGUGGUUAAGUAAAAACUCACACUAAAGCCAAACAUCUUCCAGGCUGUUAUACGCAACCGAAGACAGGAAGUUCAACCACGAAAGUGGCUUUAUCUAGUCUGAACCCACGAAAGCUAAGGAACAAACUGGGAUUAGAUACCCCACUAUGCCUAGCCCUAAACAUUGAUAGUAUUAUACACCCACUAUCCGCCCGGGAACUACGAGCAAUAGCUUAAAACCCAAAGGACUUGGCGGUGCUUUAGAUCCACCUAGAGGAGCCUGUUCUAGAACCGAUAACCCCCGUUCAACCUCACCCUUCCUUGUUUAACCCGCCUAUAUACCGCCGUCGUCAGCUUACCCUGUGAGGGACUAAUAGUAAGCAAAACUGGUACAGCCUAAAACGUCAGGUCGAGGUGUAGCGUAUGGAGGGGGAAGAAAUGGGCUACAUUCGCUAUUACAGCGAACACGAAUGAUGCACUGAAACGUUCAUCUGAAGGAGGAUUUAGCAGUAAGCAGGAAAUAGAGCGUCCAGCUGAAAUUGGCCCUGAAGCGCGCACACACCGCCCGUCACUCUCCCCAAAGACGCAGAUCAAUUAACUAAAACCUAAUAAUUAAAAAGGGGAGGCAAGUCGUAA
rnacentral:rRNA from 1 species